rnacentral:lncRNA from 1 species
AACAAGUGUCAAACCUUUUAUUCCAUUAAAUUAACUGGUGAGGGAACCAGUAAGAUGUUACAGCUGAUCCGAAGAAGAAUGCAAAGAAAAGACGCACAUACAGGCAAUCAAGAACAGUGAAACAAACUGGCUGAAAUGAUGCAACCCUGGUCGAUAGCCAGAGGCAAUCAUGCACAAUCAUUCGACCCAACAAUCAGAUACAUUCUGAUCAUUUUUUUUCUAAGACUUAGGGCGUUGAAAGUUAGCUCUAGAACCAUCAGAGGUAGAGAACCUCUGGGAGGCAGCACCAGCAGGGACACCCGUGACUUUAGAUGCCUCUCACAAGCUUGCCACCACAAAAAGGCUGAGUAAAUCCAUAGAAGAGGUGAAGCCCCCAAAUGGGAUACCCAAUAAACUUCCAAAAAUGGGCAAUGGCUCUAGGUAGUACCCAGGAUGCACUCUGAAAUCCUAUUCUAUUUGCCUCCGAGAAUGGAUUAGAAAAAUAAAUUGGAGUUCCCAUUGUGGCGCAGCGGAGAUGAAUAUGACUAGAAACCAUGAGGUUGCGGGUUUGGCCCCUGGCCUCGCUCAAAGGAUCUGGCGUUGCCGUGAGCUGUGGUGUAGGUCACAGAUGCACCUCGGAUCGGGCGUGGCUAUGGCUGGGACGUAGGCUGGCAGCUGUAGCUCCGAUUGGACCCCUAGCCUGGGAACCUCCAUAUGCUGCAGGUGCGGCCCUAAAAAGCAAAAAAAAAAAAAAAAAAGAAAGAAAGAAAGAAACCCACAUGUUCUGAAAGGAGGGACGUACCAUCUCUGAGGUAGAAAACGUGGACCUGCACCUGGAUAUAAGACGUACACUACAGGUACGUCCACACUAAGGAAACGAGGACGACACACUUUAGUCAGAGCUGGUCUCUGAGCAGACGGGGGUCCACUGAGGUUUGCAGGGCACAUCAAGAAAUCACCACCUGCUGACAGGAGACCAAUUUAUUAAAAACCCCUCCACAAUGUAGGUUUCCUACUUGGAUUACAAACCAAAUACAAUUUCUCCCUUCUUUUUAUUAGCUGCUAUUGUGUGUGAAGAUGAAACCUGGAGGAGAGGGAGGGGAAUACAGUAUACAGUGUAUAUAAAUACAUAUGGACACACAUACAUAUACAUAAAAGCAUAUACAUUUUCCAGCCGUAGUUGAGACCAUCAAAGAAAAAAAGAGAACUCAGAUUAGUCAAAUACUCUAUGAUUCUUCAAGUGACAAUUUCCAUCUCUGCUCUGGGCUGUCCCUCCUCUGCUUUCUGCCAAGGAACACGGCAUCACCCGUUCAGAGCACGUGCCAGGCCCCUGUGGGACGAGAAGGCUUCACAGGCUGAAGAACUGGGAGCUGGGCUUCCCUCUGCCCUCUUCCCAGGCCGCGUGGGCCGCACGCGUGGGCGAGGGGAGCCUCUCACUCGUAGGGCGGCAGGCCAAACAGCUCGGGCUGGAAGUCCUGCAGAGAGUCCAGCACCAGGGUGGCCUUGGUGGUCAGGGCUCGGUCCAGGUUUCCAUCGGGAACCAUGACCACCUGCAUCCCGGCUGCGAGGGCCGCCUCCACCCCGUUGGGGGCAUCUUCAAAGACCAGGCACUGUGGGGUGAGGAAGAAAGAGAGGGUUGAGACGGCCUCUGUGACCACGCGGCGAACCUGGGCUGCGUCAGCACGGGACACGGCUCGGCGCAAUGCGUGGGCCAGAACGGCAGGGGGCGCUGUGCCAGUUAUGCUCGCUGGGAAGCCGGCGCUGGCCCUUACACGGGGCACAGGGGCGGGGGGGGGCACCCCGUUACUUUACAGGGGAGAGUUCCACCACCGCCCUGAAGCACUAUCGACACGUGAGGCAGCCGUGGAGAGGCCGGAUUCUCGGUUUAUAACUUUAUUUCAUUUGAAUCAUAAGCUGUUCAGUCAAUAAUGGACCAUGUCGAGCAGGAGAGGAAAUUGUGAGGGGAAAGAAAAAAAAAAGGACCACAUGCUCUCUAGACGUACAGUGACUUCAGAGCGGGAAACCUUUCGGUACUGCGGUUUGGAAAUUAAAUGGUGAGAGUGUUUCACGGAGGAAUGCAGCCCCCCGGGGUGUGCCAGUCACGCACCCAACGCCCCUGAGCACAAAGAUGUCGGAGCAGGUGCGUAUCUCUUGGGCUCACUCGGACCCCACCUCUAAGUGGGGGAGGGGUGCCCUGUAUGCAUCACGGAGCUCCUCCACGUGCCGUCCUGUCACCACGGCGAUGGCACGGCUCACAUCUGGGCUCGCUCCAGAGAGGGUGCAGUCCACCCGGUUGAAUGGGCCGGUCAUCUUAGCAAGACAGCACUGAGAAAGGUUCCCUCGGCUCCUGGAAUUCCAGAGUCUGAAAGCAGCAGUCUAUUCUUUUCUGGUAGGAAUCAGCAGGGGCCUGACAUCUGCAAAGAGGGCUCCUCCCAGCCCUGCCAAGAUGCUGUCCUGUGCGCAUGCCCUGGGGACGCCGGGGGGUCACCCAGGUUGGACUCUGAGGGUGCCUCUCUCUCCACCCAGUCCCCCACUGCAUGUGUGAUUAUGGUAACCUCCCCCUUAGGUCAUCAGCCAGCAUGGCCUCAGCCCCAUGUGCUGGGGACAGCAAGGGCUCCUGGAUGCCAGCCGCCUCCUACUAGAAGGUCUGCAUCUUCAGAUCCAACUUAUUCCAGGGCUGAGAGAGGACGAGUGAGGUAGCAGUCGUCAUGACAACAGGCCAGCUAUUAGGUACCUGGACAGAGUGGGCUGGUACCCGGGGCACAGUGCUGAACGGGACAGUCCUGGCCCCCUGCCUUCCGCAGGCCUUCUGCAGCCCCCCUGGCUCUUCUCAAGCUCCUGUGGGACGAUGGUGCCCCUCUCAGGGUGGGGCCAGGCAAAUAACCCCACUGAGACUGUCCGGCAGCGGUUUCCUACUUAUUGGAUUCAGAGACUCUCUGGGGUUGGUAUGUCUGCCUCUGCCUUUUGAAAGUUAUGACCUGAUCGUUUCCCAAGGGUCCCUGUUGUUUUUUAACUGGGACUCUGGACAGACGCUGAAAUGUCAAGUGACAUUUCGUUCUUGAGAUUCCUGAGGAUUCUGAGGCUUUGUGCGGUCCACCUGUGCACUUCCGGUGCGGGCUGAGGAAGAGAUUUUGUCGCUUCCCAGGGUGACAGUGCCUGGCUCGAGGCAUGCAGCAGCUUUUACUCUGUAUUUGUGUGAGGCUCCUCCCGAGGCGCACGUGGACAGGGGGGAGGACAAAGUGGAGACACCACGCAAAACACAGCCCAGGACCUCGAUCCUCACCCGAGAACAGUGGGCAGCCGGUCCACGCCCGACAGGCCCGUCCACGUGCCGUGUCAGCUGCAGGAAGUACAGCGGAGGGGGCCACACGCUCUGUCCACAUGCCAUUUACGUCCCAGGAAACCAAAGGACUGGCGAGGAAAGCCACCACACGGGGAGCGGACCGGCCACACCCUGUCUGUGAAAGCUGCGCUGCUUCUGCAGGUGUACACAGGUUCUCGGUUUCUGGUUUGCGUUCCUCAUUUGUCCCCAUGGAGAGCGGGAAUGCCUCACCCCAUGUCACACUGAGACGUGGAAAGCAAUGCUUAGGAUGCACACGGCAGAGCACAGCAGACGUCACGGAGGCUGGUCCUGACGACAGGGGGGAGGAGGGCUGUGAGGCUCGUGCAGAGGCCACUGCACUGCGGCCACGCCUGUGAGGGAGCAAGUGAGCCCCGGCCCUCAAAAAGGACUCCGGGGAAAUCGAGGCAGGCUGGUCGGGGAGCUUGCCCCGAGCCACUUGGGAUGCUGGCUGCUCUGAAAGGUCAGCAGGGAGUUCCGUCUAGGUUGUAAAUACAGUCAAAACAGUAAGAGAAACUCUGAUUGAAUCCACGGUGUCAGGAGCACUUACAAGGCCUUUCUUCUGCCUGCUCUCACCCAGCAUUCUCCCUUCCCGGCUCUUAAAAACACUUCCAUGGGUGCCACCUGGACUCUCCCCAUCAGCCAACAAGAACUGGAGCAGUGUGAAAAGGAUCUGAAGGUGGGAUUUUUGUUUUGGGGUUUUUUUUUUGUUUUUGUUUUUGUUUGGCUUUUUAGGGCCACACCCACAACCUAUGGAGGUUCCCAGGCUAGGGGUCGAAUCAGAGUUGUAGCUGCCGACCUAUGCCACAGCCACAGCAACACUGGAUCUGAGAUGCAUCUGCAACCUACACCACUGCUCGCAGCAAUGCUGGAUCCUUAACCCACUGAACGAGGCCAGGGAUCCUAGUUGGAUUCGUUUCGCUGAGCCAGGAUGGGAACACCAAGAAUCUGCAGUUUUUAAAAGUGAAGUGUAACCAGGAGGAACACAUCUGACUCUUUUCUUUUCUUUUACUUGCCCCUUUGUAUUCCACUGCUUUUGCUCCCACUUCAGAAUGUCGCCUGGAGUUUGAAAUAAACAGGAGAGCCCAUUGGCUAGACUCUGAGGUUUAAGGGUGUAACUUUUCCAUUCAUGUAAAGAUACAAUGUUGCAGAACAGAGAAUAGCUUUGUCUUGUUGGAGGUUUAAAAAAACAUCCUGACUUGACCUCCCUGGACAGACAGGAGAACAAAGGAUUGCAGCACCAACAAGUCUGCAGCAACCAACCACGCACCCCUCUCACCUGGCCUGUGAAAAUGCUUUGCUGAAACCCUUCGGUGACUUCAAGGGUUUUAUGGGCACAAGUCACCAAUCUCCUUGCAUAGCCCUGCAAGAAGCCAUUCUCUGCUCCAACCCCCCCGACGUUCCAGUAUUGGACGGCCUCACUGUGCAUUGGGCAUAGGAACUUGAGUUUGGGCAGAGAACUGGCCGUUGCACUGGAGGAUAUGUGCUGAGAAUGUGGUGGAAAAACGCAACAAAUGGGUGGGGUGGGGGUGUGCAGUUUACAGCAAACUCUGCCCAGGCCUUGUCCAUCCACAAGUUAAACAGAGCAGCCAAAUGCAGGACAGAAAACAGGCCCACGACGUGAAUCGUGCCGGGAACCAGCACCAGCACUGGGUCCAGGCGGCCAACCCAAGCGCCAGCUGCACAAGGACGGGAUGGGAUUCUUAGUCAUUAGACAGCGCCUGGAGUUGGAGGGAUUUCCCUUCUUCGAAGCAGCUGUAAAAAUGCCUCAGAAGGCUUUGAUGUGCUUGUUAUUCUGUGCCUUGAUUCCCAAGACCUUUUGAGCUUCUACUGGCCUCUGACAGGAGAAGGGAACCCACAGCCCAGAAACCUGGACAUUGUGUGAAUGUUUACCAGACGGGCUGUGUAGCUACUGCCACCCAAGAAUAAAUCUGUGAGUCACCCAGAAAGACUCUGCCUGUUCAUCA